AACGAACGCUGGCGGCAUGCCUAACACAUGCAAGUCGAACGAGAUCUUCGGGUCUAGUGGCGCACGGGUGCGUAACGCGUGGGAAUCUGCCCUUUGGUUCGGAAUAACAGUUGGAAACGACUGCUAAUACCGGAUGAUGACGAAAGUCCAAAGAUUUAUCGCCAGAGGAUGAGCCCGCGUAGGAUUAGCUAGUUGGUGUGGUAAAGGCGCACCAAGGCGACGAUCCUUAGCUGGUCUGAGAGGAUGAUCAGCCACACUGGGACUGAGACACGGCCCAGACUCAUACGGGAGGCAGCAGUGGGGAAUAUUGGACAAUGGGCGAGAGCCUGAUCCAGCAAUGCCGCGUGAGUGAUGAAGGCCUUAGGGUUGUAAAGCUCUUUUACCAGGGAUGAUAAUGACAGUACCUGGAGAAUAAGCUCCGGCUAACUCCGUGCCAGCCGCCGCCGUAA
rnacentral:rRNA from 1 species